CUGAACCAGCCAAGUAGCGUGAAGGAUGACUGCCCUAUGGGUUGUAAACUUCUUUUAUACGGGAAUAAAGUGAGGCACGUGUGCCUUUUUGUAUGUACCGUAUGAAUAAGGAUCGGCUAACUCCGUGCCAGCAGCCGCGGUAAUACGGAGGAUCCGAGCGUUAUCCGGAUUUAUUGGGUUUAAAGGGAGCGCAGACGGGUCGUUAAGUCAGUUGUGAAAGUUUGCGG
rnacentral:rRNA from 1 species